rnacentral:rRNA from 1 species
UACGAAGGGGGCUAGCGUUGCUCGGAAUCACUGGGCGUAAAGGGUGCGUAGGUGGCGUGGUAAGUCGGGUGUGAAAUUUCGGAGCUUAACUCCGAAACUGCAUUCGAUACUGCUGUGCUUGAGGACUGGAGAGGAGACUGGAAUUUACGGUGUAGCAGUGAAAUGCGUAGAGAUCGUAAGGAAGACCAGUGGCGAAGGCGGGUCUCUGGACAGUUCCUGACACUGAGGCACGAAGGCCAGGGGAGCAAACGGG